rnacentral:rRNA from 1 species
UACGAAGGGGGCUAGCGUUGUUCGGAAUCACUGGGCGUAAAGCGCACGUAGGCGGACUUUCAAGUCAGGGGUGAAAUCCCGGAGCUCAACUUCGGAAUUGCCUUUGAUACUGUUGGUCUCGAGUCCGGAAGAGGUGGGUGGAAUUCCUAGUGUAGAGGUGAAAUUCGUAGAUAUUCGGAGGAACACCGGUGGCGAAGGCGGCCACCUGGUCCGGUACUGACGCUGAAGCGCGAAAGCGUGGGGAGCAAACAGG